rnacentral:misc_RNA from 2 species
AAAUAGUACGCCCAGCCAAGGUAAAACCACCGGCCGCUGGUGCUGUAUUCAACCACUUGUAUACUUGUACCUGUUGCUUCCGUGGAGUUACGGGUGAUCGCCCUGUUCGCAGGUGUGGGUUACCUUCCACGGGUGUAUUUUGAACACUUGUUUAAUUGUAUGUGGAGUCUGAAUAGCUAUUGUAAUAAAGUUUA